rnacentral:lncRNA from 1 species
CUAUUUCACGUUAAAAAAUUAUUAGAGGAAUUCCCAUCUUUCCUAUCCCGUCCCCACCACCAAUGGUGAAAAUUGAAAAUGACAAUAAUUAUAAUUUACUUAUUUUUAAAUCUGUUUUUAUAAUAUAAAAAAAGAAGAUGUGAUAUGAUUGCCAAUGAGACAACUCUCCACAAGAGACCAAAAUGACACAGAAAUUAACUACUAGGUAACCGUAAGUCCCUCAACAAUGAGCAAAGCCCAUACCGCAUAGUCAGUAUAAAAGGCCCCAUGAUGACAAUGUAAAACAAUUCAAACGAGAAAACUAUUUUGCUAAGACAAGGUUUCUCGAUAAAUAAGUAUCAAGAUAAUAUGCAAUAAAACAAUAAAACUCAUAAGAGCCAAAAUGGCCCAAAAUUAUACUUAGAAAAAUUAAAAACACAACUCUCUAUCUGUCAGGGACCACCAGGCCUCAGUAAACAAAAAAUAAAUACAGUGUGUUUAUGUUCAUUCAGACACAAAUCUAAUUAAAUUACAGAUAUUGUGUGUCCAAGCUAUGCUUACGCGGAUCUGAAAACGCUCCAUUCUAUUUUCUGUUUAAAGACCAUUGGGAUUCUCGGUUUUGUCGGAUUUAUAUACACCUUCAAAAAUGUGAAGGCCGAAUUUCAUUGGCUGAUGUAAUAUUUACUAGAACAAACUGUAUCAAAGGACUGAAGUACUGAACAUCAGAUGACCGCAAGUUCUCGUGGAUGGUCAGAAGCACUUGUCUUAAAGAAAAUCACAUCUCAAUACCUGAAAGUGAGGUUAACUUACAGAGAUAUAUUUUUUUUUGAGACAAGUUCGUGCUUGGAUGAUGAAUAAACAACAGGGAAUUCAACC